ACUGUAAGAGAAAGGUAUUACUAAUUAUUAACCUGCUCAGUGGUGUGUAUCUGCCUCCCUCAUCUCUAUGAACAAAGGGCUGUCUUGCUGUGGUGGCACAUGCUGGCAGGAUAUGCUGAAGAAAUGGAUGCAGGAGAAUUAUGAGUUCGAGGCCAGCCUAGACUACAAAUUUUGCAUGGCACAUGCCUUUACUCCAGCACUCAAGAAGGAGAGGCAGGCAAAUCUCUGGAAAUCCAAGGCUGGCCUACUCUACAUGGUGAGCUGGCCUGCCCCUUACCAGCUAACACAUGGCUCUCCACAGUACAUGGCUUCUGGGAGAAAGAUACACUUUUCUUUGGGUGAGGGGCUGGCCACUAGGAGUUUGAACAUGCUCUAAUAAGUAUAUGGCCAACACAAAAUUUACUUAAAUUUGUUUUUUGGGGGGUGGGGGAAGACAGGAGUGAAUGAUGUAAGAUUCCCAAAAAAUCAAAAAUCCAAACCAAACGACAAAGCUGAGGAUGGCUCGUGCCUACUAAUCCCAGGACUCAAGUACUUGCCACAGCCGGCCAAAUCCCAGGCUAGCCUUGAUGGGAGACGAUCUCAAAAUGCAAAAGUAGCCAAAUGCACACACCUUUAUAAUCCUAGAGGCAAGCAGAUCUUAGGCCAGCCUGGUCUACAGAGUGAGUUCUACAACAGCCAGAGCUGUUACACAGAGAAAGCCUGUCUCAAAAAAACAAAACAAAACCAAAAAAACAAACUAACUAAACCAAAAGUAAAAGGAAACCUAGAGCAGCUGGAGAGCGAGCUUAGUGUAUACUAACACCAGACAGUAUACAACUGCCUGGAACUCAACACCCUCUAGAUGCUGCUAGCACCUGCUCAGACCCACCCACACAUGUAUAAUUUUAAUAAAUAAUAAAAAAAAAAAAACCCACAAAGAAGCCUGGAGAUACAUAAUACAGCCCA